UUCAGGUCAGUCAUGCCACCUGUAGGUCAGACUGGGUAAUCCACCUGAGGCUAAGCGGGUUUGGGCCUGGCCAGUACUUGGAUGGGAGACCAGUUAGGAAAGCUGGGUUGCUGUUGGAA
rnacentral:rRNA from 1 species